rnacentral:rRNA from 1 species
GAUGAACGCUGGCGGCGUGCCUAAUACAUGCAAGUCGAGCGAACAGACGAGGAGCUUGCUCCUCUGACGUUAGCGGCGGACGGGUGAGUAACACGUGGAUAACCUACCUAUAAGACUGGGAUAACUUCGGGAAACCGGCGCUAAUACCGGAUAAUAUAUUGAACCGCAUGGUUCAAUAGUGAAAGACGGUUUUGCUGUCACUUAUAGAUGGAUCUGCGCCGCAUUAGCUAGUUGGGAAGGUAACGGCUUACCAAGGCAACGAUGCGUAGCCGACCUGAGAGGGUGAUCGGCCACACGGGAACUGAGACACGGUCCAGACUCCUACGGGAGGCAGCAGUAGGGAAUCUUCCGCAAUGGGCGAAAGCUUGACGGAGCAACGCCGCGUGAGUGAUGAAGGUCUUCGGAUCGUAAAACUCUGUUAUUAGGGAAGAACAAAUGUGUAAGUAACUAUGCACGUAUUGACGGUACCUAAUCAGAAAGCCACGGCUAACUACGUG